rnacentral:rRNA from 1 species
ACUCAAAUGAAUUGACGGGGGCCCGCACAAGCGGUGGAGCGUGUGGUUUAAUUCGAUGAUAAGCGAGGAACCUUACCAGGGCUUGAAAUUCAGCUGCAUAUUUUUGGAAACAAAAAUAGCCUACGAGGGUGCUGAACAGGUGCUGCACGGUUGUCGUCAGCUCGUGCUGUGAAGUGUUCCCUUCAGUGGGGUAACGAGCGCAACCCCUAUCAUGUGUUGCUUAUCACAUGAGACUGCCGUGGUUAACACGGAGGAAGGUGGGGAUGACGUCAAAUCAGCGUGGUCCUCUGACGCUCUGGGCGACACACGCGCUACAAUGGCUGGGACAAUGAGCUGUAUGCAAACCCGCAAGGGGAAGCGAAUCUUCUAAACCCAGUCUCAGUUCGGAUUGGAGGCUGCAACUCGCCUCCAUGAAGCUGGAAUCGCUAGUAACCGUGAAUCAGCCACGUCACGGUGAAUACGUUCUCGGGCUUUGUACACACCGCCCGU